UUCUGUAGAUAGGAUUAGAAGCUUGAAAGAUAAAGAAAAAGUAAUAUCCGAGCCAAAGAAUUAUUUUUAAUUCCAAGCGAAGGAAAAGUUAACACUUUUUGGCUUGGAAUUUGAAAAAAAAAAGAGAACAAGAGAGAAGAUUCGAACAGAAUAGAAAUUCGAAUAAGAUUUGGCUUAUCGAAUUAUAUUGAGAUUGUUUCUUUUUAUUAAUAUUGGUGUGUUUACUAAAGUUACAAAAAGUUUACCUUGCAUAUAUUCCGUUCAGCUAAAUAUACAUGGUAGAAAGGUUCUCUCGCAGUAGAAAGCAUUCAUUUUUCUUCGACUCGGGAAGUUGUCUAGCCAAGAAUACAUACUGUAAAUGAAAAUCUGUUAUUGUGAAUGAAGAAUUAAGUCAAGAAUGUCAGAAAAUUCAAAAAGACCUGAAUUUUGCUGUGAUGUAAUAAAUAAUGACAUUCCUCUCCCAGAAGUAUUAGAAUUAUUAUAUACAAAGAAUGAAAUUACUGAACCAAAUGAUGCAAUUGUUGUUGUUCUGCAUGUUCUCAUGUUUGAAUUAGGAUUCAUUC